UUUGGAGAUGUUUUAUCCAGCACCUGACUCAAAGCAAUUUCAACCCUGAUUCCACUCUGGAGUUCAAUGAGGUUGCUCAGGGCCUGGCCCAGUAAAAAUCUCCACUGCAUAUUCCAGCCUCUCCAGAUAACCCCAUGGCUCAUCAACAACCAGACUGCAGAGAUACCCAAGAGUGCCUUAACUGCAGUGCAGCAACAUCAAAAGAGAUGAUUUUCUCUGGAUUCUCAUCCACAUGAAAACCAAAUGUUGUUUCCAGGUGUAGUGAAUUCCAGUGGACUAUCCACCAUCACUGAGCAGCCCUGGCAUGCCAUUCAGGCAGUGGCCAGUGGCUUUGGGAUUACACAAAACCAAUCUCCUGACGUACCUCUAUUUAAGAAUAAAUUGGUUCAGCUGUGGAACAGCCUCAGAGAUUGAGAAGGAACUUUGUGGGAACAAAGAGGGAAGAUUCACACUCCAAGAGCUUGCCUGCUGCACUACACCAAUCAAAGACUGCCCAGGGUGGGUAUGAAGUAGCCCUCAAAAGCACAAAGUGAAGGCUUGGCACCAAAUAUUUGGUGCAGGUGUACUGCAGAAUUUGCCCUGGUAACCGUUGCUUAUAGCUUGUGGAAUGGUAACCGAAAGAAGAUUAGAACCAGAACAUGUGGUCUUGGGAUUUAUUGUGUAAAAAUCAGGGAACUUUCUGAUUCCCUUCAUCUCAUCACAAUCCUAUUUUUAAAAAAAAAUUGUUAAAAAAAUGUGUUGGUGGCCCUGAUGGAUGUGAUAAAUUAAUAGAUACUUGUCUCUGAAUUGUUAUUAGAAAUGAGCUUAAACAAGACUCUGAAAAUUUUAAUUUCUCACAAUGUUAAAGUCAUAUAUUGAAGAAAACAUGGUGCAAUAUCUGAGUAAAUAUUUCCUAUGAAAAGAGCAUAAAGAAUAAUAUUUUAAUUGGAAAGUCAUACAUAGUAAGGGUUUUAGAAAUUGAGUAGAUUAUAAAAACAAAGAUUUGUUUGGGCUAGAUUGUUUGCAGAAGAUUUAAAAAACAAAGAUGUUAGGAAAAAAAUUAAUAUAUUAAUAUUAUUUUACUUCUCUCUUGUAUUCUCUGUAAAUAGCCUGGAAGCAGCAUUCUCUUAACACAGGCAUUUGGCGUAAAACAAUUACUUUAUUAAAAUUUAUGUUGUUGGUUUAAGGAUGUCUGCUCAAACUGCCAAAGCUUCCCACUUGAAUCUCUGUCCCUUUAUGCUAUUUAAUGUGACAUGAGUAUCCUAAUCAAUUUUGAAAUUCAUAUCUGGAUAUACAAUGCACAUAUUUCUUACAUACACAAUUUCCAUGAGAUGGUAUUGAUAUAACUUAAUUACAAGAAGAAUACAAACAAAAUGCUUAACAUGGCCAGAGCUGUCCAGUGCUGGAGAACUGCCAACCAGAAACACCAAAGAUGCUUAGAACUCCAAUAUACAGCUUAGGCUUGACUCUUGCUGUAAUGACAUUUUCCUGUUUACUGUAUCAUUUUCAAAUCUUCCUGCAUGGAUCUGAGAGGCUUACAAGAUUAAGUGAAUAAAUUCAGAGAAGAUUCUCUCGAUCUGUGUCUAUAAGUAAUGUAGCACAAACUACAAAAAAGCAGUGAAACUAAGCUUAUCAGCAUGAUACAUUCAGGCCACCUAAAUAAUAAGAAAUCUUUUAUAGGCCAGAAACAUCUCUUGCAGUUAUUAGCUAAUAGCAAGAAUGCAGAAAUAAGUUACUAAGCAUCCAGGCCAGUAAUCAUAUGACAGUGUUUACCUUUAUGGUAAACAAGCAGGUGCCUUAUGUUUGGGGAGUGAAACUAAAUAAGCAAGCAAGAGUUUUCAUGAAGGUGCAAACGGCAAGACUCGCAGCCAAGAUCAAAGUCUGAGGUUUGUUCAAACUUUGAAGUAUUUCAGACCUAGAUUCUUGUAUUUCAUUUAAUCCAAGAGCUGUUUAUUAAGAACUGUUUGUAUACAUAUAUAUAUGCAUAUGUAUAUACACACCGACAUAUAAAACUUAACUAGAAAAUAGUAAUUAUAAUGUCUAAGUAAAGGAAGCAUUUAAUGUUGUCCAUUUUUGGAUUCCAGAGUCUGGGCCUCCCUAUUGCAUGUCACACAGUGCCAUGAGUUCAUGUGUCACUAGGCAAUAAGGGUACAUUGUCCUGUAAUGUUAUGUUAAAGUAAUCUGCCAAACCCCAAAUAUUACGCAAUAGAAAGAAUAUGCCACAGUGGAAAACUACAGGGAACACAGCAUUAAACAGCAGUAACUACAAUUUGAACCUCACCCUAGAUAGCUCUUUCCAGGAAAUGUUUAGUAUCCUUUUAACCAUGGUCAGUCUUAAAACUGUAAAUUACAUUUGUUCUGAGCAGUAAUUCCAUAUUUAUUGAUAUCAAUGUGAUAAAAUUAUCUGUGUGGAAAAAAGAGUUAAAAAAUAUUUUAAAUGUAGGAAAUACACUGACAAACACUAUGUCACUGUAACCUUCAAUACCAUGACCCAAAUUCAGAAUAUUAAUCAGUAGUUUUGUUUACUUUUAACAUUUGGUGAUGUGCUUGUAUACAAAACUGUAUGUCUUUGAUCGGUGGAUACAUGGUAGCAAUAUAUUAAGAGCAACAAUUCACAAUUUCUUAUAUAUCUGGAACAUUUGGAGAAUCAUAACA